CUUUCGCAGCAUCUCUCAGAGUUAAUACGAAAUAGUGAUCUCACCAGAUAACAUGGCUCGGAAAUGCCAGGAAUCUCACGAUGCGAUAUAGGUGCCGAUUUGUUUCCAGGCCCACGCCUCUCCCCCGUCUCAUCGCCGGCCAACCAACGUACACAGUGAGACGCCUCCUGAGGGUUUGACCGCUGGGCAGGGGAUUCCAUUACCUGGUUGACUGGGAGGGUUAUGGCCCGGAGGAGAGGUGCUGGGUCCCCACUAUGGACAUCCUGGAACCAGCCCUCAUCGCUGAGUUCCACCGACGGCACCCCGGUCAACCAUGUAUACACCCAGAGGACCUGAGUCCUAGGACCAUGCCUCAGGACUACCUGGCAUGAUGACUCCUUGCUGUCCCCAGUCCACCUGGCUGUGCUGCUGCUCCAGUUUCAACUGUUCUGCCUGCGGCUAUGGAAUCCUGACCUGUUCACCGGACGUGUUACCUGUCCCAGACCUAUUAUUUGACCAUGCUGGUCAUUUAUGAACAUUUGAACAUCUUGGCCAUGUUCUGUUAUAAUCUCCACCCAGCACAGCCAGAAGAGGACUGGCCACCCCUCAUAGCCUGGUUCCUCUCUACGUUUCUUCCUAGGUUUUGGCCUUUCUAGGGAGUUUUUCCUAGCCAACGUGCUUCAACACCUGCAUUGCUUGCUGUUUGGGGUUUUAGGCUGGGUUUCUUCACAGCACUUUGACAUAUCAGCUGAUGUACGAAGGGCUAUAUAAAUACAUUUGAUUUGAUUUGAUCAGGGGUUUGGUGCCAUUGACUGUUGUUGAUUGAUUUUCCUGCUUGUUGGCCCAAGCAAUCAAUGAUUUAGCUCUGUGACAUAGCUUUGGUCACGUUCGCUUGCAUAAAUAAGUACCUUCCAUUGCAAUACCUCCCAUUGCUGUACCCAUUGCUAUACCUACCAUGGCUGUACCCAUUGCUGUACCUGCCAUUACUGUAAUCCUUGCUGUACUUCCCAUUGCUGUACCUAAUGCUGUACUUCCCAUUGCUGUACCUGCCGUUACUGUAAUCCUUGCUGUACUUCCCAUUGAUGUACUUCCCAUUGCUGUACCCAUUACAAUACUAACCAUCACUGUACCCAUUACAAUACAUCUCAUUGCUGUACCCAUUUCAAUACCUACCACUGAUGUACUACUAGAGCAUCAGCAAGGUGUUUGAAAAGACCCAACUCA